rnacentral:rRNA from 1 species
UACGUAGGGGGCAAGCGUUAUCCGGAUUUACUGGGUGUAAAGGGAGCGCAGACGGCAGUGCAAGUCUGGAGUGAAAGCCCGGGGCCCAACCCCGGGACUGCUCUGGAAACUGUACAGCUAGAGUACGGGAGGGGCAGGCGGAAUUCCUAGUGUAGCGGUGAAAUGCGUAGAUAUUAGGAGGAACACCGGCGGCGAAGGCGGCCUGCUGGACCGAAACUGACGUUGAGGCUCGAAAGCGUGGGGAGCAAACAGG